UGGGGAAUAUUGGACAAUGGGCGAAAGCCUGAUCCAGCCAUGCCGCGUGUGUGAAGAAGGUCUUCGGAUUGUAAAGCACUUUAAGUUGGGAGGAAGGGCAGUAAGCUAAUACCUUGCUGUUUUGACGUUACCGACAGAAUAAGCACCGGCUAACUCUGUGCCAGCAGCCGCGGUAAUACAGAGGGUGCAAGCGUUAAUCGGAAUUACUGGGCGUAAAGCGCGCGUAGGUGGUUUGUUAAGUUGGAUGUGAAAGUCCCGGGCUCAACCUGGGAACUGCAUCCAAAACUGGCAGGCUAGAGUACGGUAGAGGGUGGUGGAAUUUCCUGUGUAGCGGUGAAAUGCGUAGAUAUAGGAAGGAACACCAGUGGCGAAGGCGACCACCUGGACUGAUACUGACACUGAGGUGCGAAAGCGUGGGGAGCAAACA
rnacentral:rRNA from 1 species